GGAUGAACGCUGGCGGCGUGCUUAACACAUGCAAGUCGAACGAAGCACUUUGAUCGAUUUCUUCGGAUUGAAAUUUUAGUGACUGAGUGGCGGACGGGUGAGUAACGCGUGGGUAACCUGCCUCACACAGGGGGAUAACAGUUGGAAACGGCUGCUAAUACCGCAUAAGCGCACAGUAUCGCAUGGUACAGUGUGAAAAACUCCGGUGGUGUGAGAUGGACCCGCGUCUGAUUAGAUAGUUGGUGGGGUAACGGCCUACCAAGUCGACGAUCGGUAGCCGGACUGAGAGGUCGAACGGCCACAUUGGGACUGAGACACGGCCCAGACUCCUACGGGAGGCAGCAGUGGGGGAUAUUGCACAAUGGGGGAAACCCUGAUGCAGCGACGCCGCGUGAGGGAAGACGGUCCUCUGGAUUGUAAACCUCUGUCUUCGGGGACGAAACGAGACGGUACCCGAGGAGGAAGCCACGGCUAACUACGUGCCAGCAGCCGCGGUAAUACGUAGGUGGCAAGCGUUGUCCGGAAUUACUGGGUGUAAAGGGAGCGUAGGCGGGCAGGCAAGUCAGGCGUGAAAUAUAUCGGCUCAACCGGUAACGGCGCUUGAAACUGCAGGUCUUGAGUGAAGUAGAGGUUGGCGGAAUUCCUAGUGUAGCGGUGAAAUGCGUAGAUAUUAGGAGGAACACCAGUGGCGAAGGCGGCCAACUGGGCUUUUACUGACCCUGAGGCUCGAAAGUGUGGGGAGCAAACAGGGAUAGGAUACCCUGGUAGUCCACACCGUAAAAGGAUGAUUACUAGGGUGUGGGGGGACUGACCCCUUCCGUGCCGGAGUUAACACAAUAAGUAAUCCACCUGGGGAGUACGGCCGCAAGGUUGAAACUCAAAGAAAUUGACGGGGGCCCGCACAAGCAGUGGAGUAUGUGGUUUAAUUCGACGCAACGCGAAGAACCUUACCAGGUCUUGACAUCGUAUGCAUAGUGUAGAGAUACAUGAAGUCCUUCGGGACAUACAGACAGGUGGUGCAUGGUUGUCGUCAGCUCGUGUCGUGAGAUGUUGGGUUAAGUCCCGCAGCGAGCGCAACCCUUGUAUUUAGUUGCUACGCAAGAGCACUCUAGAUAGACUGCCGUGGACAACACGGAGGAAGGUGGGGAUGACGUCAAAUCAUCAUGCCCCUUAUGACCUGGGCUACACACGUACUACAAUGGCAAUAGAACAGAGGGAAGCGACUCAGCGAUGAGAAGCAGAUCCCGAAAAAUUGUCUCAGUUCGGAUUGCAGGCUGCAACCCGCCUGCAUGAAGUCGGAAUUGCUAGUAAUCGCGGAUCAGCAUGCCGCGGUGAAUACGUUCCCGGGCCUUGUACACACCGCCCGUCACACCAUGGGAGUCGGUAACACCCGAAGCCCGUAGCCUAACAGCAAUGAGGGCGCGGUCGAAGGUGGGAUUGAUGA
rnacentral:rRNA from 1 species